GUGAACGCUGGCGGUAGGCCUAACACAUGCAAGUCGAACGGCAGCACAGUAAGAGCUUGCUCUUACGGGUGGCGAGUGGCGGACGGGUGAGGAAUACAUCGGAAUCUACUUUUUCGUGGGGGAUAACGUAGGGAAACUUACGCUAAUACCGCAUGCGACCUACGGGUGAAAGCAGGGGAUCUUCGGACCUUGCGCGAUUGAAUGAGCCGAUGUCGGAUUAGCUAGUUGGCGGGGUAAAGGCCCACCAAGGCGACGAUCCGUAGCUGGUCUGAGAGGAUGAUCAGCCACACUGGAACUGAGACACGGUCCAGACUCCUACGGGAGGCAGCAGUGGGGAAUAUUGGACAAUGGGCGCAAGCCUGAUCCAGCCAUACCGCGUGGGUGAAGAAGGCCUUCGGGUUGUAAAGCCCUUUUGUUGGGAAAGAAAAGCAGCAGGUUAAUACCCCGCUGUUCUGGCGGUACCCAAAGAAUAAGCACCGGCUAACUUCGUG
rnacentral:rRNA from 1 species